rnacentral:misc_RNA from 1 species
CAACCCUCAAGCUUUGCUUGGUCUUGGGCACUGCCGGGAACGGCUUGCCUUAAAAUCAGUGGCGGUGCCAUUCGAGCUCUACGCGUAGUAAUAAACCCCUCGCGAUUGAGUCUUGGUGGAUGCUUGCCAGCAACCCUCAAUUUUUUAUGG